rnacentral:misc_RNA from 1 species
UCCGAGUUGACCCCGGCGGUCUCCCGUGAGUCCCCAGCACCACAAGGGCCUGCUGGCAACACGGGACAAGGGUUGCGCUCGUUGCGGGACUUAACCCAACAUCUCACGACACGAGCUGACGACAGCCAUGCACCACCUGUACACCGACCACAAGGGGGACCCUGUCUCCAGGGUUUUCCGGUGUAUGUCAAGCCUUGGUAAGGUGGGGAUGACGUUACGGUCUUACU